rnacentral:rRNA from 6 species
AAAUUGAAGAGUUUGAUCAUGGCUCAGAUUGAACGCUGGCGGCAGGCCUAACACAUGCAAGUCGAACGGUAACAGGAAGCAGCUUGCUGCUUCGCUGACGAGUGGCGGACGGGUGAGUAAUGUCUGGGAAACUGCCUGAUGGAGGGGGAUAACUACUGGAAACGGUGGCUAAUACCGCAUAACGUCGCAAGACCAAAGAGGGGGACCUUCGGGCCUCUUGCCAUCAGAUGUGCCCAGAUGGGAUUAGCUAGUUGGUGAGGUAACGGCUCACCAAGGCGACGAUCCCUAGCUGGUCUGAGAGGAUGACCAGCCACACUGGAACUGAGACACGGUCCAGACUCCUACGGGAGGCAGCAGUGGGGAAUAUUGCACAAUGGGCGCAAGCCUGAUGCAGCCAUGCCGCGUGUAUGAAGA